rnacentral:tRNA from 1 species
UUGAACAAAUGCAAAUUGGCUUAAUUAUUAUUGAUUAUUUACAAUUGAUGCAAAAUUCACAAGUUCC